UUUUUAUGGAGAGUUUGAUCCUGGCUCAGGAUGAACGCUGGCGGCGUGCCUAAUACAUGCAAGUCGAGCGAACAGACGAGGAGCUUGCUCCUCUGACGGUAGCGG
rnacentral:rRNA from 1 species